UACGAAGGGGGCUAGCGUUGUUCGGAAUUACUGGGCGUAAAGCGCGCGCAGGCGGUUUUCAAGUCAGUGGUGAAAGCCCGGAGCUCAACUCCGGAACUGCCAUUGAAACUGUAAAACUUGAGGACGAGAGAGGUGAGUGGAAUUCCCAGUGUAGAGGUGAAAUUCGUAGAUAUUGGGAAGAACACCGGUGGCGAAGGCGGCUCACUGGCUCGUAUCUGACGCUCAGGCGCGACAGCGUGGGGAUCAAACAGG
rnacentral:rRNA from 1 species